GGGUUAAGUCCCGUAACGAGCGCAACCUUGUCCUUAGUUACCAGCACGUUAUGGUGGGCACUCUAAGGAGACUGCCGGUGACAAACCGGAGGAAGGUGGGGAUGACGUCAAGUCAUCAUGGCCCUUACGGCCUGGGCUACACACGUGCUACAAUGGUCGGUACAAAGGGUUGCCAAGCCGCGAGGUGGAGCUAAUCCCAUAAAACCGAUCGUAGUCCGGAUCGCAGUCUGCAACUCGACUGCGUGAAGUCGGAAUCGCUAGUAAUCGUGAAUCAGAAUGUCACGGUGAAUACGUUCCCGGGCCUU
rnacentral:rRNA from 1 species